rnacentral:pre_miRNA from 1 species
CGUACCAAAAGUGCAUUCUACAACGUGUCGAUAUAAAACUGUAAAUGCAUUAUCUGGUAUGUG